rnacentral:rRNA from 1 species
CCCUGGCUCAGGAUGAACGCUGGCGGCGUGCCCUAAUACAUGCAAGUCGAGCGAAUGGAUUAAGAGCUUGCUCUUAUGAAGUUAGCGGCGGACGGGUGAGUAACACGUGGGUAACCUACCCAUAAGACUGGGAUAACUCCGGGAAACCGGGGCUAAUACCGGAUAAUAUUUUGAACUGCAUAGUUCGAAAUUGAAAGGCGGCUUCGGCUGUCACUUAUGGAUGGACCCGCGUCGCAUUAGCUAGUUGGUGAGGUAACGGCUCACCAAGGCGACGAUGCGUAGCCGACCUGAGAGGGUGAUCGGCCACACUGGGACUGAGACACGGCCCAGACUCCUACGGGAGGCAGCAGUAGGGAAUCUUCCGCAAUGGACGAAAGUCUGACGGAGCAACGCCGCGUGAGUGAUGAAGGCUUUCGGGUCGUAAAACUCUGUUGUUAGGGAAGAACAAGUGCUAGUUGAAUAAGCUGGCACCUUGACGGUACCUAACCAGAAAGCCACGGCUAAC